rnacentral:tRNA from 1 species
GCCUCUGUAGCUCAGCGGAUAGAGCACCGGAUUACGGAUCCGGGGGCCGGGAGUUCGACUCUCUCCAGAGGCA